ACGGGUGCGUAAUACGUGAGAAUCUGCCCUUAGGAGAAGAAUAACUGCUGGAAACGGCUGCUAACUCUCCAUAUGCCGAGAGGUGAAAUAAUUUCGAUUGCCUAAGGAUGAGCUCACGCCUGAUUAGCUUGUUGGUAAGGUAACGGCUUACCAAGGCCACGAUCAGUAGCUGGUUUGAGAGAAUGAUCAGCCACACUGGGACUGAGACACGGCCCAGACUCCUCCGGGAGGCAGCAGUGAGGAAUUUUCCGCAAUGGGCGAAAGCCUGACGGAGCAAUACCGCGUGAGGGAUGAAGGAUUUUGGUCUGUAAACCUCUUUUCUCAAGAAAGAAGUUCUGACGGUACUUGAGGAAUAAGCAUCGGCUAACUCCGUGCCAGCAGCCGCGGUAAUGCGGGGGAUGCAAGCGUUAUCCGGAAUCAUUGGGCGUAAAGCGCCUGUAGGUUGUUUAAUAAGUCUGUUGUUAAAGACUAGGGCUCAACCCUAGAAAAGCAAUGGAAACUACUAGACUUGAGUAUGGCAGGGGUAGAGGGAAUUUCUAGUGUAGCGGUGAAAUGCGUAGAUAUUAGAAAGAACACCGGUGGCGAAAGCGCUCUACUGGACCAUUACUGACACUCAGAGGCGAAAGCUAGGGUAGCAAAAGGGAUUAGAUACCCCUGUAGUCCUAGCCGUAAACGAUGGAUACUAGAUGUUGUGUUUAUUUUACAGUAUCGUAGCUAACGCGUUAAGUAUCCCGCCUGGGGAGUACGCUCGCAAGGGUGAAACUCAAAGGAAUUGACGGG
rnacentral:rRNA from 1 species